GCUGAGCUCACAAGUCAGUUUGAUUUGUUUUCCUUCCUUGGCUUCUUGGUUUUGAAGCUCUUGCUUGAAGAGAACUGGCAUUUCUUGUACAACUAGCUUGGCUCUGGACUGGGCAUCACCAAUGUCACAGGUGUACGUGUCACUGUCACUUUUCUCCAGAUUUUUUAUGGUCAGCUGUAGGUCUUGUCCUUUCUGUGUCAUCUCGUAUUUCCG
rnacentral:lncRNA from 1 species